UGCCAGUAAAAUUCUACUCAAAAUUCUUGCCUUUAAGAGGAGAAAUACCCUUUUUAAUUGUUUAAGAAACGACAAAGAUAAAUAUGAUCACAACAUUCUACUGGGGGUAUGAAAUUCCCACCACAGAUAAUGACCUGAAUCAAGACAUAAGGUAUAUAGGCUACACCACAAGAUCACUGAAUAAGAGACUAGAAGAACAUAAAAAAGAUAUUGAUAAGUCUGUGAAUACAACAGCACUAGCCCAAAGAGCCCUCUUUAGCAAUGUUACAGUAAAAUGGGAAGACGCAAAACUCCUAAUGAGGC
rnacentral:lncRNA from 1 species